rnacentral:tRNA from 1 species
UGGGAUAUAGCUCAGUUGGUAAAGUGUUUGCCUCAUGUGCACAAAACUCUAGGUUCAAUCCCCAGCACCACAA